CUUAAUAUUUGUGUAAUUUUUUUUUAGAAAAACCUAAUUGAGAAGGUUCGUCUUCUUCGUAGCAUGUAUUCCUUGACCUUGUUAUGGCCAACGAGGGCACAUAUGUCUGAGAUGUCACUGAGUGGUUCUGUAGCAAUAACAAAGUGCUUUCAUUACCGCAGCCUGUUUUCUCUGAAAGUAAAAAUGGAAGGAUCAAAGUAUUUCCUCAAGCAAUCCAUCAGGUAAUGGAUUAGUGAUAAUGAUGGCGGACACGGAAUAUUAGUGAGUAUAAA
rnacentral:lncRNA from 1 species